CCUACUGGCAGGAAUAAAGAGAGG
rnacentral:piRNA from 1 species